CAAGUCGAACGGAGAUGUUUAUUUCGGUAGACAUCUUAGUGGCGCACGGGUGAGUAACGCGUGAAUAACCUGACCCGAAGAGGGGGAUAACACCUGGAAACAAGUGCUAAUACCGCAUAAGACCACGGACCGGCAUCGGUCAGAGGUCAAAGGAGGAAUCCGCUUUGGGAGGGGUUCGCGUCCCAUUAGGUAGUUGGUGAGGUAACGGCCCACCAAGCCAACGAUGGGUAGCCGAGCUGAGAGGCUGAUCGGCCACACUGGAACUGAGACACGGUCCAGACUCC
rnacentral:rRNA from 1 species